AGUGAACGCUGGCGGUAGGCCUAACACAUGCAAGUCGAACGGCAGCACAGUAAGAGCUUGCUCUUACGGGUGGCGAGUGGCGGACGGGUGAGGAAUACAUCGGAAUCUACUUUUUCGUGGGGGAUAACGUAGGGAAACUUACGCUAAUACCGCAUACGACCUACGGGUGAAAGCAGGGGAUCUUCGGACCUUGCGCGAUUGAAUGAGCCGAUGUCGGAUUAGCUAGUUGGCGGGGUAAAGGCCCACCAAGGCGACGGUCCGUAGCUGGUCUGAGAGGAUGAUAAGCCACACUGGAACUGAGAGACGGUCCAGACGCCUACGGGAGGCAGCAGUGGGGAAUAUUGGACAAUGGGCGCAAGCCUGAUCCAGCCAUACCGCGUGGGUGAAGAAGGCCUUCGGGUUGUAAAGCCCUUUUGUUGGGAAAGAAAAGCAGCAGGUUAAUACCCCGCUGUUCUGACGGUACCCAAAGAAUAAGCACCGGCUAACUUCGUG
rnacentral:rRNA from 1 species